rnacentral:rRNA from 1 species
AUUGAACGCUGGCGGAAUGCUUUACACAUGCAAGUCGAGCGGCAGCACGGGGGCAACCCUGGUGGCGAGCGGCGAACGGGUGAGUAAUACAUCGGAACAUGCCCAGUCGUGGGGGAUAACACUUCGAAAGAAGUGCUAAUACCGCAUACGUCCUGAGGGGGAAAGCGGGGGAUCGCAAGACCUCGCGCGAUUGGAGUGGCCGAUGUCAGAUUAGCUAGUUGGUGGGGUAAAGGCCUACCAAGGCAACGAUCUGUAGCUGGUCUGAGAGGAUGAUCAGCCACACUGGGACUGAGACACGGCCCAGACUCCUACGGGAGGCAGCAGUGGGGAAUUUUGGACAAUGGGGGCAACCCUGAUCCAGCCAUUCCGCGUGAGUGAAGGAGGCCUUCGGGUUGUAAAGCUCUUUCGGCAGGAACGAAACGGUGAGCUCUAACAUAGCUUGCUAAUGACGGUACCUGAAGAAGAAGCACCGGCUAACUACGUG